UACGUAGGUGGCGAGCGUUGUCCGGAUUUACUGGGCGUAAAGGGAGCGUAGGCGGACUUUUAAGUGAGAUGUGAAAUACUCGGGCUCAACUUGAGUGCUGCAUUUCAAACUGGAAGUCUAGAGUGCAGGCGAGGAGAAUGGAAUUCCUAGUGUAGCGGUGAAAUGCGUAGAGAUUAGGAAGAACACCAGUGGCGAAGGCGAUUCUCUGGACUGUGACUGACGCUGAGGCUCGAAAGCGUGGGGAGCAAACAGG
rnacentral:rRNA from 1 species